GCUACGAGAAACACUCCCUGCUACCUUCUUUUUUUUCGCCAUUGGACCAGAAACAUUAGUAUCCACCUUUGUCCCUUCCUGUUUCGAUGACCAAGCCCCAACCCGAACACCCAUCGAUUCCCUAUCAAACAGCAACACCCAAAACAUUCAUUCCCUUCAUCUGUUUCUAUCAAAACAAAAAAAAAAAAAAAAAAAAAAAAAAAAAGAAAAAAAAGAAGAAGAAGAAGAACAGGGGAGCUACCGGAGUAGACCCUCCCAUCCACUUACCUGCUACCAAUCGAAGCAGCAGCCCCACCCCCGCUGCUUCCAUUUUUUUCCCUCUUCGGUCCAGCCAAGCACCGAAGGUGCCUCCCUUUUCAACCACCGAUCGCAAAUGGCCUCAUCGCAACACCCACUGAGACCGACGACCCACCCCUCACACCCUCCCCUUCUUCUUCCGUCGAGCAAACCCCACCGAAGACCUCGUCUUCGUCACUGCUGCUGCUCGCGACACCUCACCGGAGACCCCCUUUCCCCUCGUUUUCUUUCUCUGUUGUUGCCAUCGACCAUAGAGCUCCGAAGAUUCGUCUUUGGUGCUACCGCUGCUAGCGACGCCCGGACUCCCUAUCAGACCUCCUUCCUUCGCACCUCACAGCCGAAUGGGAAUGAGCGAAACUUCGCUGCUUCUUCACGCCUUCGUUGCUUCGGUCUCGUCGACCCCGGAGACAAUCUCGGCUUGCGAAUCGACCGACGAAGCCUUACGCUCCAUUCUGCCACCGUCGUUGUUCGUAUCUAUGUCGUUCCUUCGUGUUCGACUUCCUUUCGUU
rnacentral:lncRNA from 1 species